rnacentral:lncRNA from 1 species
AUGCAAGACAAAAAGAAAAAGUGUGGGAUCCCAUAUCAUAGAGUGGGUGUCUGCUGUGCAAAAGGACAAAAAACACUCAUUUCCCAAACUGCAAAUCAAAGCAUCAGGCUGGAGAGAACAGAGAGAUGUGCACUUUAUCUUCUGAAUGUUUUCCUAAUAGAAGAAAUGCUGGAGGACAGAGAACGUAUCACAAAGAAUCAAUAGCCUUAUUCAUAUUCACUGACACUCCAACUGCUGAUUUCUUUACAGGGAAAUUGGCUCUUUUCCCCUACAAUUAGAAACUUCUCAUACUAUCAGCCAAGGCUGUUCCAUGCAAAUCUGAGAAUGAGCAGGAAAGGUGGAAAUAUACCAACUCUAUGAUGGCAAAUAACAAACGAUAAGAGAAACAAGAACUCACACGGAGCCAAAACAUUUCAGCCAAAUCCAAAUACACAUUGCAUAUACGGUAUUGCAUAUGCACGCACUCUGUAGCAGUUGCAGCUGCAGCUGUAGCAAAACACCUACUAAAAUCCAACUGUGAACAAGUAUUAAC